UGUAUAUAUAUACCCAAAUCCAAUGUGUAUUCUUCACAGUUUUUCAAUAACAAUAAUUAGGGAUUCUCCCUUUUUCUCUCUCUCUUCACAUGGUAUCAGAGCCAAGGGAGAAAAAAAACCUUAAUUAUUUCCGGUUUAUCCGUGAAUCCAUUCUGGGAAAUCUUUCAGUGACCAUGUUUCAUUCCGGUCACCCUUCCCAUCUCCUAAAGCUUUUCGAUCAACCGUAUCACCGUCAGAAAACCCUCACCACCGACAACUUUUCCAACGACAUCCUUUUCCCACACCGACCAUACCAUCAAGUGCGCAAGGAGGAGAUCUUCAACUUUUCUCAAAGCACCGGAGGAAGAAUCUCAGCCACGCGCCGGCCACGCGCGUCUCUUAUCCGGCGGCCUAAAUCUCACGCGCCGGCACGUGAGGGCGCGUGGGUCACUUUUCGGCCACGCGCUUCCACCUCCAGCCUCGCCUAACACCGUCUAGCCACCCUCCAUCUUUGCUUGUGUCAUUCGAGCCCUGAAAGUGCAUUUUUUUGGGUUUUUUUAUCUCCGCUGGCCCUCUAAACAGCCUUUUCGGCGACCUCCGGUGACUUCCUCUCCACCCCGAGCCCUGCACGUGUCUUAGGAAAUCCGUGAUAAGCCGUAUUAGGGCUCUCUUCGAUCCAAACAUAUUUCAUUCACCAAAUAAGUAGAUAUGGCUACUAAAAGUUCCACUUUUUCCUCUGUCAUAUCUGGAUCUCCUAUGAUCACUUCGGAGAAAUUGGUUGGCAGUGAAAAUUAUUUGUCCUGGUCUGCCUCUGUGGAGCUUUGGUUUAUGGGUCAAGGUUAUGAGGAUCACCUUGUUACGCAGGAGGCGGAUAUCCCUGAGGUUGACAGAGUACAAUGGAGGAAGAUAGAUGCACAGUUAUGUAGUGUGUUAUGGCAAUCAGUUGAUCCUAAGAUUCUGCUUCAUCUUCGGGCCCACAAAACAUGCUUUAAAUUUUGGAAUCAGACGAAAGGGCUAUACACGAAUGAUAUACAACGUCUUUAUAAGGUGGCUUCUUCUAUUGUCAAUGUCAGACAACAAGACAUGGAUUUAUCUACUUAUAUUGGCCAGAUUGCCUCUCUUAAGGAGGAAUUCUUGACCGUGAUGCCUCUUACUACUGAUGUUGGGGAUCAACGAACACAGAUUGACAAGUUUUUCAUGGUUCUUACGCUUAUUGGCCUCCGUCCAGAUCUCGAGACCGUCCGCGAUCAGAUUCUUGGCAGUUCCUCCGUUCCAUCCUUGGAUGAUGUGUUUGCUCGCCUCCUCCGUAUCUCCUCCACUCAGACUUUGCCAUCUAAUAACACUUCAGAUUCUUCUAUGUUAGUUUCUCAAACUAGCUCUUGAAGAGGACGCAGUGGCAACCGACGUAGAGGCCAACGUCCUCAUUGCACCUAUUGCAAUAAGCUUGGCCACACUCGUGAUCGGUGUUAUCAAUUACAUGGGCAACCUCCCCGCACUGCCCACGUGGCCCAGUCAUCUAAUCCUCAGUCGCCUCAGCCUCCCAGUUUCUCCACAUCUCAGGGUAUUUCCCUCACUGACAGUGAGUAUGAUGACUAUCUCCGCUAUCAGGCCACCAAGUCAGCUUCUGUUACUUAUGUUGCCCAGACUGGUAAUGCUUCUACUUGUCUUACCCACCCAUCUUCUCUUGGACCUUGGAUUCUAGAUUCUGGCGCUUCUGAUCACAUAUCUGGUAAUAAGGAUAUUUUCUCUUCUAUUACUACUACCUCUGCCUUACCUACUGUUACUUUAGCUAAUGGUUCCCAAACUAUGGCUAAAGGUUUUGGUUUCACUCAUCCUCUCCCUUCCCGACCUCUCCAUUCUGUCCUUUAUGCCCCUGAGUGUCCUUUUAAUAUUAUUUCCAUCAGCAAAAUAACUCACACUCUUAACUGUUCUAUCACUUUAUCUAAUAAAUUUGUAACCUUGUAGGACCGGAGUACGGGGAAGACGAUUGGCAUAGGACGUGAGUCUCAAGGCCUCUAUCACCUCACCGCGCCUUCAACUCCUGCAGUUUGCAUUUCCACUGAUGCUCCCCUCCUCAUCCACAAUCGCCUGGGCCACCCUAGUCUAUCCAAGUUCCAGAAAAUGGUCCCUAGUUUUUCAUCUUUGUCGUCGCUUGCGUGUGAGUCCUGUCAGCUUGGGAAAUAUACUCGUGUCUCGUUCCCAAAGCAUUUGAAUAAUCGGGCAAAGUCUCCUUUUGAACUUAUCUACAUUGAUGUUUGGGGUCCUUGUCAGACCGCGUCUACUUUAGGAUUUCAGUAUUUUGUCACUUUCAUUGAUGACUAUUUUCGAUGUACUUGGUUAUUUUUAAUGAAAAAUCGAGCUGAGUUAUUCUCUAUUUUUCAGAAAUUUUAUGCUGAAAUCCAAACUCAAUUCAAUAUUUCUAUUCGUGUGUUGCGUAGUGACAAUGCUAGAGAAUAUUUUUCUACACCAUUUACUUCAUUUAUGUCCCAACAUGGGAUCAUUCAUCAGUCUUCUUGUGCUCAUGCUCCUCAACAAAAUGAGGUAGAUAAACGUAAGAAUCGACAUCUUGUUGAGACAGCUCGUACUCUCCUUCUCCAUAGUCAUGUUCCUUUUCGUUUUUAGGGGAACGCUGUUCUUACAGCAUGUUAUUUGAUUAAUCGUAUGCCCUCAUCUGUAUUACACGAUCAGAUUCCUCAUUCCCUUCUUUUCUCUGACCAACCACUUUAUGUCAUUCCUCCUCGUGUUUUUUGUUAUACUUGCUUUGUUCAUAUUCUCACUCCUGGAUAGGACAAACUUUCUGCCAGAGCCACAAAAUGCAUCUUCUUGGGAUAUUCCAGACUUCAAAAGGGUUAUCGUUGUUAUUCCUCUGAGACUCAUCGCUACUUUCUCUCCGCUGAUGUCACUUUCUUUGAGGACUCACCGUUCUUCUCUACCUCUGAGUCUCUUCCUGUUUAUGAAGUCUUACCCCUUCCCAUUAUCUCCCCACCUGAUGCAGUGCCUUCUCGCCCACUUCAGGUUUAUCAUCGUCGUCAUCGUGUCGUUGUUCCUCCUUCUUUGGCCAAGGUACCUAUUGACUCACUUCCUAUCCCUUCGGCUUCUCCUGCCCCGGCUCUGUCUCCUUCUGCUGACUUACCCAUUGCUCUUCGGAAAGGUAAUCGAUCUACUUGUAAUCCUCAUCCCAUUUACAAUUUUUUGAGUUACCAUCGAUUAUCUUCACCCUAUUCUGCAUUUGUUUCUACUAUAUCUUCUGUUUCUCUUCCCAAGAGCACCCCUGAGGCUCUUUCCCAUCCAGGCUGGCGACAGGCAAUGGUAGAUGAAAUGGCUGCUUUACACUCCAAUGGCACUUGGGAUCUUGUUGUUUUACCCUCUGGUAAAUCUACAGUUGGUUGUCGUUGGGUCUACACAGUUAAGGUUGGCCCUGAUGGUCAGGUUGAUCGCCUUAAGGCCCGCUUAGUUGCUAAAGGCUAUACUCAGGUUUAUGGUUCUGAUUAUGGUGACACUUUCUCUCCUGUUGCCAAGAUAGCUUCUGUUCGUCUAUUGCUCUCCAUGGCUGCUAUGCGUUCUUGGCCUCUUUAUCAAUUAGAUAUUAAAAAUGUUUUCCUUCAUGGGCAUCUUGCUGAGGAAGUUUAUAUGGAGCAACCACCUGGUUUUGUUGCUCAAGAGGAGUCUGGUUUAGUGUGCAGGUUACACCAUUCUCUAUAUGGCUUGAAACAAUCUCCUCGAACAUGGUUUAGCCUUUUUAGUUCUGUUGUUUAGGAGUUUGGCAUGUUCCGCAGUACAGCAAACCAUUCUGUUUUCUAUCAUCAUAACUUUUCGGGGCAGUGUAUUUAUCUGGUAGUUUAUGUGGACGACAUCGUCAUUACAGGCAGUGAUCAGAAUGGUAUUCAGAAACUAAAGCAACACCUUUUCACCCACUUUCAGAUCAAAGACUUGGGGAAACUCAAGUAUUUCUUAGGGAUUGAGAUAGCUCAAUCCAGUUUCGAUGUGGUUCUUUCCCAAAGGAAGUAUGCUUUAAACAUCUUGGAAGAAACCGGUAUGUUAGACUGUAAACCGGUAGACACUCCUAUGGAUCCAAAUGUCAAACUUAUACCAGGACAGGGGGAGCCUUUAGGAGAUCCUGGGAGAUAUCGGCGACUUGUAGGUAAACUGAACUACCUCACCAUUACUCGUCCAGACAUUUCUUUUCCUGUAAGUGUUGUUAGUCAAUUCCUACAGUCACCAUGUGAUAGCCAUUGGGAUACUGUAAUCUGCAUUCUUCGAUAUAUCAAAAGCACACUAGGCCAAGGUGUGUUGUACGAGAACAGAGGUCAUACCCAAGUUGUUGGUUACACAGAUGUAGAUUGGGCUGGCUCACCCACAGAUAGACGUUCCACUUCCGAGUAUUGUGUUUUUAUUGGAGGUAACCUAAUAUCUUGGAAGAGUAAGAAACAAGAUGUAGUGGCUAGAUUUAGUGCUGAAGCCGAGUAUCGAGCUAUGGCUCUGGCAACAUGUGAACUCAUAUGGCUGAAACAUUUUCUUCAAGAGUUGAGAUUUGGAAAGGAUGAACAGAUGAAGCUCAUCUAUGACAACCAAGUCGCUUUGCAUAUUGCAUCCAAUCUAGUCUUCCAUGAAAGGACCAAACACAUUGAAGUUGACUGUCACUUCAUUAGAGAGAAGAUCGCAUCAGGAUGUGUGGCGACUAGUUUUGUCAAUUCAAUGAUCAACUAACAGAUAUUUUUACUAAAUCUCUCAGAGGUCCUAGAAUUAAAUACAUUUGUAACAAGCUUGGUGCAUAUAACAUAUAUGCUCCAACUUGAGGGGGAGUGUUAAAUAAUGUAUAGUUAUUUAGGUUAUUUACUUUUACUUUUCCUUUUCCUUUUCUUUCCUUACUGUAUUGUGGGUCCCACUAGCAUGUAUAUAUAUACCCAAGUCCAAUGUGUAUUCUUUACAGUUUUUCAAUAACAAAAAUUAGGGAUUCUCCCUUUUUCUCUCUCUCUUCACAAGAUAAAAACCCUAACCCACCUAUUUGAUUAUAAGUAACCAUCCUAGAGUUACCCAGUCGUUAACUUCAGGGCCCCGUGGGAUUAGUUGAGGUGCGCGUAAGCUAGCCCGGACAUCCACGGUUAUCAAAAAAAAAAAAAAAAAAAAAAGUAACCAUCCUAGAGUUAUCACACAUCAAAGCGAGUCAUUACCAAUGGUAUAAGAGUUGAUACUCGACCCUA
rnacentral:lncRNA from 1 species